rfam:Myotis brandtii contig170843, whole genome shotgun sequence.
GGAGGUUCUUGGGUGAUGCACCCUGGAAUCAGGCUCCCUCCUCUCUGGUUCUGGGUGUGUCACCUGAGAACCGCA